UCUUACUUACCUUCCCAGCAGCUCCCUUCAUCUUCUGUCUAAAUCUCGUGAGAGAUUCAGGGGAGCUGAAGGGAGCUGCUGGGAAGGUAAGUAACAGCU